UACGGAGGGUGCAAGCGUUAUCCGGAAUGAUUGGGCGUAAAGCGUCCGCAGGUGGCUGUGUAAGUCUGCUGUUAAAGAGUCUAGCUCAACUAGAUAAAGGCAGUGGAAACUACACGGCUAGAGUGCGUUCGGGGCAGAGGGAAUUCCUGGUGUAGCGGUGAAAUGCGUAGAGAUCAGGAAGAACACCGGUGGCGAAGGCGCUCUGCUAGGCCGCAACUGACACUGAGGGACGAAAGCUAGGGGAGCGAAUGGG
rnacentral:rRNA from 1 species